CAAUCAUAUGCUUGUUUAAAAGAUUAAGCCAUGCAUGUCUAAGUAUAAGCCGCACGAUCGGCGAAACUGCGAAUGGCUCAUUAUAUCAGCUACAAUCUACUCGAUUUAUAAAGUUACACGGAUAACUGUAGGAAUUCUAGAGCUAAUACGUGCGAAAGGGCUGGACCGGGUUCGCGCCUGGGAAGGCCGUAGUUGCAAGGUGAGAAACCAGUUCGGGGUACUCCAAACUUAGGGAAACCUAGGGCUCCGAUCCUGGAAGACGAAUCAUUGCAAAGCGUUGCGAAUCGGGGGCUUCGAGCUUCCGAUGAUGCGAACGAGUAUCUGCCCUAUCAACUUUCAAUCGUAGUGUAGGGGACUACGAUGGUGAUAACGGGUACGGGGAAUUAGGGUUCGAUUCCGGAGAGUUAGCCUUAAAAAUGGCUAACAUUACCAAGGUAAGCAGCAGGCGCGUAAAUUAUCCAAUCCCGAUUCGGGGAGAUAGUGACAAGAAAUAUCGGUGUGGGGCCUUAUGGGCUUCACGAUCGAAAUGAGUACAAUUUAAAAACCUUAACGAGGAACAAUUGGAGGGCAAGUCUGGUGCCAGCAGCCGCGGUAAUUCCAGCUCCAAGAGCGUAUAUUAAAGUUGUUGCGGUUAAAAAGCUCGUAGUUGAACCGAGGGGGCGGAGCGCGGUUAAAAGCUUCGGGGUCUCGGCUUCGCGUCGGGGCCUCGCGGUCGCGGGUUCGCCUUCGAAUUUGCAAUGAACUACCGGCUCGGGGGGGGUCGUCUUUCGGGAGGUAAAACUCCCUUUGGGCGGUCUUCCUCUUGUCGGAUUGCAGAGUUUUACUUUGAAUAAAUUAGGGUGUUCAAAGCAGACGAAUACGUCUUGAAUAGAUUAGCAUGGGAUAAUGAAAUAAGACCGAAUUCGGCUUACUAUUUGCUGGUUUCUGAGGCCGAGGUAAUGAUUAAUAGGGACGGUCGGGGUCGCUCGUACUCGGUGGUGAGAGGUGAAAUUCUAAGACCCAUCGAAGACGAACAAGUGCGAAGGCAUUCGACAAGGAUGUUUUCUUUAAUCAAGAACGAAAGUUAUGGGAUCGAAGAUGAUCAGAUACCGUCGUAGUCAUAACCGUAAACUAUGUUGACUCGGGAUCGGGGGAUGUUACAUGGAUGACUCUCCCGGCACCGUGUGCGAAAGCACAAGUAUUCGAACUCCGGGGGGAGUAUGGUCGCAAGGCUGAAACUUAAAGGAAUUGACGGAAGGGCACCACCAGGUGUGGAAUCUGCGGCUUAAUUUGACUCAACACGGGGAAACUUACCCAGUCCGGACGCGAUGAGGAUUGACAGAUUGAUAGUUCUUUCUUGAUUUUGUGGAAGCCGGUGCAUGGCCGUUUUUAGUUGGUGGAGCGAUUUGUCUGGUUAAGUCCGAUAACGAACGAGACCUAAAUUUAUUAAAUAGUGGUGCGAACAAGGGGGCUUUCGCGGCGGGUUCGGGUUCUCCCGGGCUCGUCGGGGCCUCCGCAAAUUUGUUCGUAGCUUCCGACGUACUUCUUAGAGAGACACUUGGUCGAUAACAGCAGCCAAUGGAAGUUUUAGGCAAAAACAGGUCUGUGAUGCCGCUAGAUGUCUGGGGCUGCACGCGCGUUACACUGACGUGUUCAACGAGUAUUUAAGAACGACCUGGCCCGAAGGGGUUUGGGCAAUCUGAAAAUGCACGUCGUGAUGGGGAUUGUGCUUUGUAACUAUCGCACAUGAACGAGGAAUACCUAGUAAGGGCAGGUCAUCAACCUGUCCUGAUUACGUCCCUGCCCUUUGUACACACCGCCCGUCGCUUCUACCGAUUGAAUUACUCGAUGAGGACUCGGGAGGUGGGGCUUGAUCCGGUUCCGCCGGUGAUGCUCUGCCGAACCUGUUCGAAUCUCGUAGUUUAGAGGAAGAAGAAGUCGUAACAAGGUCUCU
rnacentral:rRNA from 1 species